AUAAAGUGGCUAAUUUUGUCUUUGCCAUGAUUAAUUGCCGACCAACAUGUUUACCUUUCAGGCAAAUGAUAAAGGACAUGAACACAGCUUUAGAUUAUUUUGUUUCCUUCCAAGUCUUGAUAGUUACAGUGGUUAACUUGAUUUCUGAUGUUGGUAUAUUUGUUGAUGGAAUAAUCACUUUUUGAUUGUUAUCAUUAAUGGUAUUCAAAGUAAGUCUAAUUAGGUUUAAAUAUGCGCCUAAGUGUGUUUUUUAAUUUGGUUACCAUUGUUACCUUUAACCGCGUAAAAUUGUAAGUUGCGCCCUUUCCUUUCUUUUGCUGGUAGACAUGGCAGUUGCCAUUUCAACAGCAACAUGUUUUUUAUGCUAAUUUUGCUAGUUUAAUCAAGUGUAACCAAAUUUUUACUUUAAUUUUCAACAAUUAAUUAUCGCUGUGAUGUGUUGAGUGGACUAUAGCUGUCUAUCAACGAAUGGGAUUAUGUUUUACCCCGCAACUUUGAAAGCCGCUGUUUUCAACAGGCAUUAAUUUUAUUGUGGAAGUAGUAGAGCUUGGUAAUUAUCAAUUGCUCGAAGCAUCAUCGAUGAGAUAUUUCUUUGAUCCUCAAUCGGAGCGUCCAUUUACAAACAUGGGUAAAGAUGAUAAUUUUGGAGAGGAAGGAAAAAAUAGCUUUCUACCUUUCCUUCUGUAAUCUUCGUUUGGAUAUAUUUUUAAACCUUCAACUUUUUUGAUAGAUAAAUGCAGUUAAUUGCAAUUUUAAUCGGGUAAUAGCUUUUCUCAAUGGAUCUCAGGUGUGGCCUGACUGACCUUAUAAGGGUUUCCUCUCUAACCUUAUCUGGCAGAUGAUUAGAUGGCGAGAAGAGGUUGAAACGUCUUUGAUAUGUGAUCUAUUGAAAGGCAAGUAUUUCUUGUCCUUCAACUCAACAUCUUAUUCUCAUUGAUUAUUUCAAUGUCAACAGUUCUUGAUGCAGCCAACAAUCAAAAAUCUAUGGAUAAAUCAUCAAUUGACCAAUUUUCAGAAUCAUUAGUUCAUUCCGUGAAGACUGAUGAAUAUACUAAACAGGGCCACCUUUAAAGAGACAAAAAAUUUCUUUGGAACCAUUAAUAUAGCUGCGGAUUUGCCUGAUCAAUGUCUUUAGUCCAAAAAAACUGGUCUCUCAAAAGGUUCAAUAGACUAAUGAUUGAAUUAUUAAUUGUGCUCGAUCAACAAUUAAUCCAUCACGAUUUAAUGGUAAAGUUUUUAGUCAAAUGAAUGCAAUAUUGAAUCUAAUGAAUCAAGUAAUUUCAAAGUUCCGGUAAUUUACCUGUCCAUGACUUGGAACCACUAAUGGUUAAAGCAGCAAAGUCGUCAAAUUUUCAUAGCGAUUAACCAUCAAAGUCAAUGAAUCCAGAGCAAAGGAUAUUGAAAUUAAAUUGCAACACCUAUUGAUUAUUGUUCAACUAAUCAAUUUACUUACAAUUUGUAUGGAGCCAUUUUAUAAUUUGCUUUUCCGUUAAUUAUUUAAAAAUGUUAACAUGAAUUGAAAUCGUUUUUAAUGGUUAAACAUUCAUCACUAUUAAGCAAAUCUAAGCACCAAACUUGCAAAAAAUCGUGAAUAGUAUUCACAAUUAACUGACGAUUUAAUUUGCCUAUCAUUAAUUGAUAAUGGAAACAAAAAUCAUGAUUAAGCUAAUGAUUAUUAUUAUCAUUAUGAAUUGAUGAGAAUUGCUGAAUAACAUCAAUGAGUUUUCAAGAAGAGAUAUCAAAGCUGAUAAUUUGUUCACAUAUUUGGUGUUAGGCAUUAUAUGGAUAACAAUUAGCUAAUCAGAUUAACUAUUAACGUGAUUGGAAUUUUUAAUGGAUUGCAAUCUAAGUAGAUGGCGUUACUUUUAUUUUAACCAACUCCUAAUUAUACCGUUAGAUGAUGUUAGUGCGCUUUAGGUUAAAAAUAUUCAAGUUUGAUUUAACUCGAUUUAACAUUGUAACCAUUUUAUGCAAAUAAAUUUUACUUAAUUAAAUUAUUAAUCUAUUGGUUAAUCCUGUUUAAGAUGUGACUGAAAUAUUAAUUAGUUUAAUGAUGUCAAGAUAAUCGUUGAAGUAUAUGUAAAGAGUAAAAAUUGAACAUUUCUCUGUUCAUGUUGAGAUGUUGACCAACUUGUGAUUAUUUUCAUUUGCUUUUGUUUUUGUAUUUCACUCUUUUGUUUCCAUUGUUUACCAUCUUUUAAUCAAUUUUAACUUCUUUUCUUAACAAUUUGAUCAAUCUUAAUCAUCACAUGCCAUCUACAUCACUGUGCUUCAUCAUCACCAUAACCAUCAUUAUUCAAAUUAGAGUUAAAUGAUUGUUUCUAUUAAUAGUGGAUAAUAUUACACUUUGUGUUUCUUUUUCUCUCCUAUCAUCACACCUUUUAAUUUAUUACAAUUUACUUUUCAUGUAUUUUCAAUUUAUUGCACUAUAAUUGUUGUAAACACUCUACGGUUAUUAGUUGUGUUGAUCACUUGAUUAAGCCCAAAUUUUAGAGAAAUUUGGUUAACAGGUUUCUUCUUUCUUUUCAAAUUUCAAAUUUGAAUGCUAAACUCAUCCAAAAGUAUCACAUCAAACACCAUUUCGGUUACCCGAUGAUGGAUAUAGUUUUGAUGGAUUAAAAUUAAAAUUAAAGUAAUUGAUUCAUUUGAACAUUCAAGUUUAAUGCAAUAAAAGGCCUUAUAAAAUGGACGUCCAAGUGAGAUGGUUGUUUGAAUCAAAGCUAUUUUUACAAUUCGGCCUCCAAUGCAUUACGAUUUAUCCUCCCAAGUGCUAAAAAAGGUUCAAAUUCAGGAAUGGACUUCACUUACAGCGGAUUCAUGGGAUAACUCGCCAAUACUUAAUUCAUUGAAGUGGCAAAUUUCAAACGCAUCAACUACAAUAACCAAUUGCAGUAAAUUCACAUUGUAAAUUCAAUCGAGUUCAUAGCAGAUUUAUCUCAUUGUUUUCUUGAUUCUUGUAAGAUGGAGCAACCAGACUGGAUGUAACAUCAGCAGCCUUCCUGGAGCAUCAUGAACAUUUCAAAUGACAUUUAUCAGAUGCAACUCUAACUGGUAACAUUGAUCUUUGAUGAGCUGCAAAUGAAAUCAUAAUCUUUUGAGGCUGAAAUUUAGCUGAUUAAGAUGGAACCAGUUGCCUACAAGAAGUGAAUACAUUUUCACAAAUUAUUUCAAUUGUUUGCAUUAAAUAAUUGUUAAUGGCGAAAGUAAAUGGUUUAGAAAUAAAUUAACGAAAACUUAACACAUUAAA